AAGACUGCAAAAAGUGAGGAAGAAGAGUAGAAGUGAAGCGGGAAAGAGUGUCAGGGAAAACUGAUCAAGAAUAAGAAGUUAAAAGCCAGUGCGGCUGGAUGUUCCCUAACCUUCUCUAAAAGGACAGUUAGGGAAAAGACAGCUCGGUCCGGAUAAACAAAAGGGGAAGACGCACCUGCCGAAAAUGUGUAUCUGAUCUGUCUACACAGAUGUGUGUAUGCUUAUCCAUCUAGACAUUUAUAUAGGGGUAUCUAGAGCAUCCCAACACUCUAACUGCAACCGUGCGUCGAAGAGAUUUUUAUUUUGUGUUUGAAGAUUUAUUUGUGGAAAGUGAGACUUCUGAUAUGAAUACUGUAGUAUUGAUUCUUCAAUCAGUGCCAGACAGAUUUAAAUUGUGAAUGGGAGGUAGAAAAGUACAAAGCAGUCAUCUUUUCUCUUUCAUCAGAAAGACAGCACGUAAAACCCAG